rnacentral:tRNA from 1 species
GCUGGGGCUCAGUGGUACAGCGCUUGCCUAGCAUGUGUGAGGCACUGGGUUUGAUUCUCAGCACUGCA